CCCGGUGUAGCGGUGAAAUGCGUAGAGAUCGGGAGGAACACCAGUGGCGAAGGCGGCCUGCUGGGCUUUAACUGACGCUGAGGCACGAAAGCAUGGGUAGCAAACAGGAUUAGAUACCCUGGUAGUCCAUGCCGUAAACGAUGAUUACUAGGUGUGGGUGGUCUGACCCCAUCCGUGCCGGAGUUAACACAAUAAGUAAUCCACCUGGGGAGUACGGCCGCAAGGUUGAAACUCAAAGGAAUUGACGGGGGCCCGCACAAGCAGUGGAGUAUGUGGUUUAAUUCGAAGCAACGCGAAGAACCUUACCAGGUCUUGACAUCCAACUAACGAAGCAGAGAUGCAUUAGGUGCCCUUCGGGGAAAGUUGAGACAGGUGGUGCAUGGUUGUCGUCAGCUCGUGUCGUGAGAUGUUGGGUUAAGUCCCGCAACGAGCGCAACCCUUGUGAUUAGUUGCUACGCAAGAGCACUCUAAUCAGACUGCCGUUGACAAAACGGAGGAAGGUGGGGACGACGUCAAAUCAUCAUGCCCCUUAUGACCUGGGCUACACACGUACUACAAUGGCCGCGCACAGAGGGAAGCGAAACCGCGAGGCGGAGCGAACCCCCAAAAACGGUCUCAGUUCGGAUCGCAGGCUGCAACCCGCCUGCGUGAAGCUGGAAUUGCUAGUAAUCGCGGAUCAUCAUGCCGCGGUGAAUACGUUCCCGGGCCUUGUACACACCGCCCGUCACACCAUGGGAGCCGGUAAUACCCGAAGUCGGUAGUCUAACCGCAAGGGGGACGCCGCCGAAGGUAGGAUUGGCGACUGGGGUGAAGUCGUAACAAGGUAGCCGUAUCGGAAGGUGCGGCUG
rnacentral:rRNA from 1 species